GAGACCAACAUACAAAAUUGACGAAACACAAAGUCACGGUCUCACAACAUGUAAUUAAACGGGCUACACGUGUUUCGCUCUAGUUAGAGCAUCAUCAGGCCUUUAGAAGCCAUCCACACACUUAUGCUGUAACUGAUGAUGCUCUAACUAGAGCGAAACACGUGUAGCCCGUUUAAUUACAUGUUGUGAGACCGUGACUUUGUGUUUUUCUUUGUUUUUCGUCAAUCUAUAGUAAAUACAGAGAGAAAAGGAAAGGUCUUAUUAUAUAUUAUAAUCAAAAAUAAAUUUCAUUGAAAUAUUACUAACUUAUUUCUGGGUAUCAUGCUUCAGAGAACCAUGAUGUGUUACAAUACGCUCCGCUCUUUAAUUUUAGUUUAGUAGAAAAUAUUCUCAAAACCUGCAUAUAUCAAAAUUAUGUCAGGGUUCUAAAAUGAAUCGGUAAUAAAAUCGUAAACCAGAUCAACAUUGGAAAUAAUUUAAAAAAUUUGCUUUGGUCCGAUUGAAAAAAGUACUAUACUACCAAAUAGUUACAUCUAUUCUGUAGCAAUAAAAGUUAUAAAAUUCUGUCUAUUAUUAAUUUUAAUAUUAUAAAGUGUAUCGUUUAACUCUUAGCCAUUAUUUACAAUUUAAUUGUUAAUUAUGCCUAAAAAAACGAAUUAACAACUUUGGUAUUGUUUGGAAGGUAAACAGCUUAAUUCCUUUAUGUAAAGCCACCUUAACAUGUUUUUGCAUAAUUCUGACUCACGUUGGUUGCUAUCGGGCUUAAGCCAUAAAAAUCGAAGAAAAAAAGAAGAAGACGAAGAGACUUUCACUUGUCAUUUCAAUGUCACUUUCCGGCCCACAAGCAUAAACGCCACCGGCAACGGAAGUUCCCAAAAUCCAAACAAAUGUUGGAAGAUAUUUUUAAGUCUCCGCAUCUUUCUUACUUUCCUAUAUGAAAAUAAAAUGUAAGUAUCACAAUUACACACAUACAAGUUUUUUUUUUAAUUCAGUUUCAUAAUUACCAAUUUUUAGUGAAUAAUCCUGAAAUUUAUGAAAAUACAUACAUUUUAAGGUUAUGUCAUAAUGUUUUGAUUGUUAUAUUUGAUUUUGUUUUUGUUAUUUUAGUGGACUACACCAACAAAGGUUAUGUGUUUUGCACCAGAUUGAAAGCAUCAUAGCGAAAAACGGACCUGUCAUAUCUUUAAAUUUUCAAAAGAGCCCCUGGAAAAAGAAAAAUGAAUAUCUUUGCCAAGGAAUAGGUACUAAGGCAAAUGGAUAAAAAACCUUCAGUCCAUGCAUUGGUAUGUAAUUGUUGACAAAAAUACAAUGAAUGGCCUCACUACUUUUCCACAUGCAAAGAGGUUAACCAAGGAGAAAUUAAAGAAAUUGUCAAAAACCUAGGUAAAUACAGAAUUGCUUAGUACAAACAUAUCUAUACCCAGUACAAGUUCGUCCACUUCUUUGAAGCAUGGUACUUCAAACAGAAACACUGUCAACAAUUUUGUAGAAGGUGAGCCGGUGUCAAAUUCCAGUAAGGGUCAUGAUUUCAAUUUUGCACCAACAGCAGAGCUAAAAUUCAUUUUGCCGCAAAAAACUGGAGGAUGUGAAAGAAAAAAGUGUAGAAGUUAAAAUUAAGUUUUUCAUAUGAGCACAUAAAAAAUAAUCAUGACAAAGUUCAGUUGUAUACAGGUUUG